rnacentral:rRNA from 1 species
AUGGUCCGCGAGUUGCUGGCCGUGCUGGUGCGCGCGGCGCUGCAGUGGGCGCUGGCGACGCUGCUCCUCGCCAACGGCGCCGCCUUCUGCCUCAUCGCCGCCGCGGCCUCCUCGCUCCGCCUCGGCCCGCCAUGCCUCCUCUGCGCACGCGUCCACCGCCUGCUCUGCUCCGACUGCGGCCAAGAAGAACGAGACGCCUUCCGCCGCCUGCUCUGCGACGCUCACGUCGCCGCCAUCGCGCGCUUAGGCGCACAAGAAGCAGAGCAGCCGGCGUGCUCUCCUUCUGAUCACGUCGACGCAGGGACAAAAUAUGGAGGUCUGGAGUCUCACCGCGUCGUCUCCAUCGGCAGCGAGAUCUGCGAGCAAGAUCGUGGCGCCGACGAUGACCACCCUCGUGCCGCUGCCACCAACCUCAGCACCCUCGGAAGAACGUCGAGCAUGGACAGCGGCGAAGGCCCGUACGUGUCCCUGUUCGAGCUCGCUCCCCUCGUCGCCCUCCCGGAAGCCAACCCGCCGCCGGAUUACGAUGCCAAAGAAGCACCUCACGGUCACGGUCACAGGACGACGACGAGGCCGGAGCACGACGAGAGAGCGUCCCCGAGCGACGCGGCAGGCGGCGAGCCGGCGCUGACGGUGAGCGGCCUCGUCGCCGCCCUCCGCGCGCAGCGGAGGGAGCUGGAGGCGGCGCGCGCGGAGCUGCACGGCGAGCGGCGCGCUAGGGCGGAGCUGGAGGAGCAGGGCGAGCUGGACCGGGAGGCGGCGCGGGUGGCCAUGCAGCUCGUCCACGAGGCGGAGACGGAGAAGCACGAGCUGCAGCGGCAGCUCGACGCGCUCAGGGUCAGGGCCCAGCUCCACGACUACGAGGCCGCCGGCUUGGACGCGGCGGACUACUCUGCUCCGGUCAGCCGGCUCGGCCGCCGGCUGAGCCGCGACGGCGGCAGUGAGUCGAUGGGCCUGGAAGUGGAAGACGAGGCGGGCUGGAGCGGGAACAAGAACUACCAGUCGCUGGUGGACUUCCUGCCGGGCUCGGUCUACUCCUCGUCGCCGGACCUGGCCAACCUGCUGAGGCUCUACACGGAAGGCAAUGGCAAUGGAACUCGUCGGCCGAAAGAGGGUGACAUCACCGAGGAGGAGGAGGAGGAGGAGGAGGUCGUCGUCGCCGUCACGGCCGCAGCUGUCUCUGGUUUCGACGGCGGGGACGGUGAGGAGGCCACUAGCAUGGCUGCUGCUGCUGGUGCUUCUUUGGCGGAAAGCGGUGGCGACCACGUCCGAGCAGAUCUUGCACAAGACGAAGCAGCUGUAAUGCGUGCAUGA